GUCUGUGAGACCUGUGACCCAAUGGGUCCAUGUGCCUGGCUGUUAACCAGAAGGUUGGUGGUUCGAGGCCACCCGGGGACA